rnacentral:rRNA from 1 species
CAGCAGCCACGGUAAUACGUAGGUCCCGAGCGUUGUCCGGAUUUAUUGGGCGUAAAGGGAGCGCAGGCGGUUUAGUAAGUCUGAAGUUAAAGGCAUUGGCUCAACCAAUGUAUGCUUUGGAAACUGUUAGACUUGAGUGCAGAAGGGGAGAGUGGAAUUCCAUGUGUAGCGGUGAAAUGCGUAGAUAUAUGGAGGGACACCGGUGGCGAAAGCGGCUCUCUGGUCCGUCACUGACGCUGAUGCACGAAAGCCAGGGGAGCAAACAGGAUUAGAGACCCAGGUAGUCCCUGUCCUUAUACAC